rnacentral:rRNA from 1 species
AGUGAACGCUGUCGGUAGGCCUAACACAUGCAAGUCUAACGGCCGCACAGUAAGAGCUUGCUCUUACGGGAGGCGAGUGGCGGACGGUUGCGGAAUACAUCGGAAUCUACUUUUUCGUGGGGGGUACCGUAGGGAAACUUACGCUAAUACCGCAUACGACCUACGGGUGAAAGCAGGGAAUCUUCCGCCCUUGCACGAUUGAAUCAGCCGAUGUCCGAUUAGCUAGUUGGCCGGGUAAAGGCCCACCAAGGCUACGAUCCGUAGUCGGUCUGAGAGGAUGAUCAGCCACACUGGAAAUGAGACGCGGUCCAGACUCCUACGGGAGGCAGCAGGGGGGAAUAUUGGACAAUGGGCGCAAGCCUGACACAGCCAUACCGCGUGAGUGCAGAAGGCCUUCGGGUUGUAAAGACCUUUUGUUGGGAAAGAAAAGCAGCAGGUUAAUACCCCGCUGUUCUGACGGUACCCAAAGAAUAAGCACCGGCUAGCUUCGUG